UACACCUUCUCCAGCUCCUCAUUCCUCACCUGCAGAAGCCAGCCCUGCCACAGCACUGUGAGGUUGUACGGGAUCUGGAGGCAGGUCGGGGGGAGGAGAGGCCAAAGGUGGGCUAUGGGGUUCACUGGAUGGUGAUGGGGGUACUGUCAAAGAACAUGGGGGUCAGCGAGUUCCCAGGGGGGAUCUUGGAGGUGUAAAGGAGGUCUGAGGGAGGAAAUAGGAGGAUUCCGGGGAAGCCCAGUGGGGGACAUGGGGUGCUGCUGGGGACUGUGGGGCUCCAUGUGGGUAUGGGCCAGCUACGGGGGAGGUGUACUGGGUCUGAGGGGUUCCUUGAGGGGCUCCAAGGCUCUGUGGGGGGCUACAGGGUGUCUCUAGGGGUCUUGCUGGGAAACACUGGGAGGGAUAUUGGGGC
ensembl:lncRNA